rnacentral:rRNA from 1 species
UAGGGAAUAUUGGGCAAUGGCCGAGAGGCUGACCCAGCCAUGCCGCGUGCCGGAUGAAGGCCUUCUGGGUUGUAAACGGCUUUUCUCAGGGAAGAAAAACGGGAUGCGUCCCGACCUGACGGUACCUGAGGAAUAAGCACCGGCUAACUCCGUGCCAGCAGCCGCGGUAAUACGGAGGGUGCCAGCGUUGUCCGGAUUUAUUGGGUUUAAAGGUGCGUAGGUGGCCUUAUAAGUCCGUGGGUGAAAGCCGCUUGCUCAACAAGCGAACUGCCAUGGAUACUGUAGGGCUUGAGUGUAGACGAGGGUGGCGGAAUAGACGCUGUAGCGGUGAAAUGCAUAGAUAGCGUCUAGAACUCCGAUUGCGUAGGCAGCUGCCUAGACUACUACUGACACUGAGGCACGAAAGCGUGGGGAGCGAACAGGAUUAGAUACCCUGGUAGUCCACGCCGUAAACGAUGGAUACUCGCUGGUGGCGAUAGAAGGUCACUGGCUGAGCGAAAGC